rnacentral:rRNA from 1 species
UGGGGAAUCUUCCGCAAUGGACGAAAGUCUGACGGAGCAACGCCGCGUGAGUGAAGACGGCCUUCGGGUUGUAAAGCUCUGUGAUCCGGGACGAAAGAGCCUGAGGUGAAUAGCCUAAGGAAGUGACGGUACCGGAAAAGCAAGCCACGGCUAACUACGUGCCAGCAGCCGCGGUAAUACGUAGGUGGCAAGCGUUGUCCGGAAUUAUUGGGCGUAAAGCGCGCGCAGGCGGCUUCCUAAGUCCAUCUUAAAAGUGCGGGGCUUAACCCCGUGAUGGGAUGGAAACUGGGAAGCUGGAGUAUCGGAGAGGAAAGUGGAAUUCCUAGUGUAGCGGUGAAAUGCGUAGAGAUUAGGAAGAACACCGGUGGCGAAGGCGACUCUCUGGACGAAAACUGACGCUGAGGCGCGAAAGCGUGGGGAGCAAACAGG